rnacentral:rRNA from 1 species
UGGGGAAUCUUCCGCAAUGGACGAAAGUCUGACGGAGCAACGCCGCGUGAGUGAUGACGGUCUUCGGAUUGUAAAGCUCUGUUAAUCGGGACGAAUGGUUUGUGUGCAAAUAGUGCAUAGACAUGACGGUACCGGAAUAGAAAGCCACGGCUAACUACGUGCCAGCAGCCGCGGUAAUACGUAGGUGGCAAGCGUUGUCCGGAAUUAUUGGGCGUAAAGCGCGCGUAGGCGGUUUUUUAAGUCUGAUGUGAAAGCCCACGGCUCAACCGUGGAGGGUCAUUGGAAACUGGAAAACUUGAGUGCAGAAGAGGAAAGUGGAAUUCCAUGUGUAGCGGUGAAAUGCGCAGAGAUAUGGAGGAACACCAGUGGCGAAGGCGACUCUCUGGUCUGUAACUGACGCUGAGGCUCGAAAGCGUGGGUAGCAAACAGG